rnacentral:sRNA from 1 species
GUUCCGGAACCUGACCUGAGCUGGGGCCUGUGCUUCCAGCGGGUGGUGGGGGGCCUGGUGUGCUGGCAUCAAGUAAGCCGACUACCUCGGCAAAGGCUUAGGGACAAGAGACCAGCAGCCUGAACUGGCUGGGGCAUCCGGAAGGCUUAGAUCUUGUGGCCAAGAGUUCAGACCGUGGCGAAGUGGAGAGUGACAUGCAGUUGGAUGGCGGUGACUGCGUGGUCCUGCAACCCUGGUUCCAGUCUGGCAAGCAUUGUAGACCUGGCUGCUGAAGACUGACGGGGCCCAGGGUCCGCUGCCCCCACCGCCAUCACCACCUCGGAACCCAGGGUAACGCUGUCAGUCUUUGAUGAUGUCAGAAGUGGGAUCCAAAGUAGAGCUUAUAAUGACACCCAGGAGUGCUGAGUGACCAAGCAAGGUACCCACCAGGCCGAUUAUGUCCAUUGUUCUCUUGGAGCAGCUGGUCAUCAUGUGUCCUGCUCUGUCACCCAGGUUGAAGUGCAGUGGGCGAUCAUGGCUCAUGGCAGCCUCGACCUCCCAAGAUCAAGCAAUCCU